CAGAGGCAGCAGGUACGCGGUGAGCUAGAGCAGCGAGUCCUGGCGUGCGUGGGAGCAGGGGGCGCAGUGAUUCCAGAAGUGUCCGCCGAAGGCUCAGACUCAGCGUACGGAGUUUAAACGUCGGUUUCCAAACUUUUCCACACAUUAGAAACACUUGGGAAAGCUUCAGAAACGGACACCUCCUUCUCACCCCAGAGAUUUAAAUCAUGGAUUGACAUACUACUCUGGGCCUACUGCCUAUUUUGAUGCCUUUGGUUGCUGGGCUAUAAAUUAAGAAUCCCAGUGAGGAGAAGAAGAUGGGAAUCUGACCUUGGGCACUGCCUGGGCUCCUGGUACCCACGCAUGGAUGGCAGCAUGAUGUGGGAAGUGCCAGAAGCAGAGAGAUGCCAUUGGGAAGAGACAAGAGGGAACAGAAAGUGUAUUAGUUAGAAUGCAGAGUCAGCUGCUAUGACAAAGACCAAAGUGACAGUGACAUAAACAAGGUAAUUUUCUCUCUCAUGAAGCACUUCAAGUGUUAGCAGUCCAGGGCUGAUAGAGCUAAGUUCCCUGGUGUGGGGACCCAGGUUCCUUCUGUCUUGAGCUCUUCCAGUCCUAGAUCGUUGGCUUCAUUUGGUCCAGGAUGGCUCCACACCAUGACACAUUCCAGGCAGCAGGGUGGAGAAUGUGCAUGUAUAUUACACCCUAUUGGCCAGAACGGAGGCUUCAGGGAAGGCUGGGAAAUGUAGUCUUUAGUUGGGGUGGCCAUGGGCCUGGCUAAAACUCAGGAGUUGUAUUAUGAAAGGAAGUAAGAAAGAAUGGAUAUUUGGGGACAUCCAGCCAUUUCUGCCACCAAGAAGACAGUCUGAAAGACUAAUCCCUUUUCAAAAAAAUCUGAAGGAAAGUAAUUUAAACCAGAAGAAUCUGAGAAGCCUCUAAGUGGCAACUUUAAGCCAUCUCCCUUUUCCUACCUUACCCUACAAGAUCUAGUUGAAGGACCUAGAGGAACACAGUAUUUCCUGCACAUCUGAGGGUACUGUGUAAAUGUUAACCCUACUACAAAAGAAAAUAAGGUAAAGGUUGUAUCCCACCACUGUUCCAGAACACCCAGACAGGCCUAAGAUUCACCUACAGGAGACGGAGAAGGGAGUUCUGUUGCCAAAAAGCCCUGUCACCACAAAGCAGAUCUAGCAAGAGGAACAUGAGCCUUCUGCAGUCCCGUGAGUGCUCAGUAAAUACCAUGUGAUGACAGAAGAGGAGGAGGUUGUAGGGUAAUCGGAGGCCGGCCUGAAGUCAAGGACCUCAAGAGUCCAGUGUUAAAAUAUCUUUUUUUUCCCUUUAGUAUUAAAGCUGUCAGGUUUUUUAAUGCUUGCUUGGGACCUGUUAGCAGAGUAUUAUUUUAUCAUAUAGUCGUCUAUAGAAGAUUAACUAAUAAAAUCAAUGAAGUAUUGGCUAUUACUGUUCCCAUUUUACAGAUUAAAAAAAAUGAAGGCUCAGUGAAAAUAAAUAAAUGGCCCAAAGUCUAUAAAGGAGUUAAGCCUGAAGAUUAGGAGUCAAGAAUCAAGCUGAGCUGGGGUUUUUCUCCCCCAAAGAUAUUAUUAAUGUUGUCUUCAUUACCUUGUGGGGUAUGCUUUCCAGAAGGACCAAGGUAGAAAUUCUUUCUGGCCUUGAUACAGUUGGGUCCUAAAGGGGAGACACUGAAUUGUAUAAAUGAACACAGAUGUGUGUGUGUGUGUGUAAACACAAGACUCUGCAAAAUCCAUGGCCCACCCAAAGGAAACCCAGUUUUUCAGACUCACUUUCUGGCCACAUUGUAUGUCACCACAGUUCUUUCUUCUUUUACUUCCACUUCUUUUUUCUCCAAAAUCACUCUUCUAAUGUAAAAAGUUAUGCCUGGGAGGCAGAGACUUGGUUUUGUGGAGUCAGACGCAGGUGCAGUGUUGUAUGUCUCAGAUUUUUACCACCAGUGCAGAAAAAGUAUUUUGUUUGCUUUUGUCAAAGCAGCAGUGUGGACAGUGAAUUAUCCUAACCUUUUAAGAUGACCUUUCAUGUAAUAUUUUGCAAAACAAAUCAGGUGUACUAGGAAGACAGGGACAGUCCACAGGAACUGUCAUAAAGAAACUGUCAGGAGAAACCUAAAGGGCAGUGGCAGAAAGGGCAGGGCAAAGGAAGGAACUCUACAGAGAUGUGGGUUCAGGAAGAAGUGGGCCUCAUCCUGAUCACAUGAGGAGUUCUGAAACACACCCUGUACCACAGAGGCAAGAGGGCUGAGCACAUUGGCUAGUCAUUGGCCAUGAAGAGGGGGUGUAACCCCAGUCAUCUCCUGGCGGGGGACAGCUUCCCUUAGCCAAAGGCAGAGUGGGAACCAACCUGAGAAGGUGCAGGAUGAGCUUUUAGCAGCCAACACCUACAGGCAGGAGGUAGUGUGUUGGCCCAGGGGAGGGAUCCUGGGCUGGGCACCAAGAGCAUCCACUACACUGGAACCAUCACAACUUAUGCGUAAUACUAAAGUCAGGUAUAUGUGGUAGUUUCUUGGUGUGCUAUUUGGUUUAUUUAUUUAUUUUUGGCUAUUUUCAGUAGGUUUUAUUUUUUAGAGUAGUUUAGGUUCAUAGCUAAAUUGAGCAGAAAGUAUAGAGAGUUCCAUAUACCUCCCUGUCCCCUACAUGCACAUAGCCUCCCCUCAAAUCAACAUCUUGCACCAAAGUAGUGCUUUUCUUACAAUCAGUGAGCCUACAUUGACACAUUACUAUCACCCAAAGUUUGCAAUUUACAUUAGGUUUCACUCUUGGUGUUGUACAGUCCGUGGAUUUUGACAAAUGUAUCAUGAUAUUGAUCUACCAUUACAGUAUUGUACAGAAUAGUUUCACUGCCCUAAAAAUCCUCUGUGCUCUGCCUGUUCAUCCCUCCCCACCUCAAACCUCUGGCAACCACUGAUCUUUUCACUGUCUCCAUAGUUAUGCCUUUGUCAAAUGUCAUAUGAUUGGAAUCCUAUAGUACAUAGCCUUCUUGCACUGGUUUCUUUUGCUUAAUAAUGUGCAUUUAA